UACGGGGGGGUAAGCGUUGUUCGGAAUUACUGGGCGUAAAGGGCUCGUAGGCGGCCAACUAAGUCAGACGUGAAAUCCCUCAGCUUAACUGGGGAACUGCGUCUGAUACUGGAUGGCUUGAGUUUGGGAGAGGGAUGCGGAAUUCCGAGGUGUAGCGGUGAAAUGCGUAGAUAUCUGGAGGAACACCGGUGGCGAAGGCGGCAUCCUGGACCAACACUGACACUGAGGAGCGAAAGCCAGGGGAGCAAACGGG
rnacentral:rRNA from 1 species